rnacentral:lncRNA from 1 species
ACACCAAGCCUAGCUAGAACUUGGUUAUCUGGGCAACGGUGCUACAUCACAGUGGGUGAGGUAAGCAAUUGCAACAGCACACAAAGGACACUCGGCUUGCCAGUUUUCUCAAGAAAGGCAUUUUGCAGAUGGAAUAGCAUGCUAUUUCAGUUCUAGCUGCCCUCUGUAGGAAGCAAGGAAGGUGUGAGCAGAUCAUUAUGGGGAAAUGGCUCACUUUAGUUCUUUUCCAAACUUUUGCAGUUGGGAUGACAGUAAGUUUACAUUCCAGAAAGAGCUUUUCCUUUGUUUAGUGAAAAAACACUAUAGAACUGGGGCUAUCCUUGGUAUAAUUCUGUAGGGUGUGAGCUAUCAUUAAGGUGUCAUUAUGCCUUUUACUUUGGAUGGGCAUACGACGCAUAACCCUAUAGUAAAGAACAUAAGAUUAUAUGUGUUCUAGGACACCGUAUUUACCUCUUAAUUACAUAUCAGGAACAUUUACUGAUUAGUAUAACUAAUAAGGAUAAACAUCUAAUUGAAAGGUAAUGUCUGCUAUGUAUGUAACAUAUGGGAAUGAAAACAAUGUCAUAAGGUGGAUGAACAGUUAGGGGAAAACUAGAUUUCACAGGAGACAUGGGGUUCCUGCCAAAACAUGUGACACAACCAUCACACUCUCUCCACCACCGAUCUACUUCAUAGGUUGAAAGGAUGUUACCAUGAAGGCAAUAAUACUACCAAGAAACCAGAUUCAGGACUUGAUGCAGAACUGGAAAAAAAUCAUUUCAACAUUGCAUUUACAGUAAUUACUGAAAGCUUUGCUCAGUUUGUUAAGAUCUGAUUCAUUUCCUGUUUCUUUCAUUAGCGUUCCAUUUGUCCUUGUAUCCACAUCCAUUUUGACGGGUUGUGUCCCCCUCCCAAUUCUUUACUAUAUUUUGCUUCCUUCUGGGGCAGUGGCAGCAGUAGAGCAACAGCUGAAGCCCCUCCUACAAGUAGUGUUAUGUACUGAGUUGAAUAGGAUCCAAAAGACAGCAGUCUUAUUGGUCCUAGAACAAUAGGAUUCAGAAUGCAGCAGUCUGAUUGGUCCUAGAACAAUAGGAUUCAGAAUGCAGCAGUCUGAUUAGUCCUAGAACAAUAGGAUUCAGAAUGCAGCAGUCUGAUUGGUCCUAGAACAAUAGGGUCCAGAAUGCAGCAGUUUGAUUGGUCCACAGGAGCCACCCAAUCCAGCUCCAGGUGGAAGUGAAUCCGCAACCUGAUUGGCCUACAGGUGAAUCCCGGAAUUAGCCAAUCACGUGGGGCCCAUUGUGUAAAUAAUGUAUAUAAAGCAGACAUUCUGGGGGAACUUCCAUUCCUCCUCACCACUAUGAGCUGAAUAAAGAGCAUGAAAUCCACUCUCGACUCCAAGUAUAUUUCAGGUAGCCAUUGUCUUUCCCCCCAGAGUGUCUCCUAAUUCUGGGGUAUUGGAGAAACAUGGCUGCUAUAAAACAGCAGCCUCCCCUGACAACUGUCAUUUCCCCCUGAAAUGGACUGGAAGGGACUCCCUGCUAAUACCAAUCCCCCCCCCCAUUUCUUUCAGGACAAAUGGGUUCUGUUCCGUUAAAUGUUCCAUUUUUGUGUCUGAAAAGAAUGCACAGCCCUCGUUUUCAGAGGUAGCCACAUAUUUCUGCCCCUAGCAUGUCAGAGAGAAGAGACAAUGAACAUAAAACAUCAGAUCUUAUGGAUGGAUGCCUCUGCAGCAUCACAUAACUAUUUUCUUUUUUAAAAAGUUUUUUUAUUAACAAAUUCAGCACAACAAAUCAACAAUACAAAUCGUCUUCAUUGGUUUUUUCCCCUCCCAUUUUUUCCCCUCCCACCUCCCCAGCAAACCCUCCCAAAGAUUUCCCUCAGCUCCUCUCUCUGAUUUCUCAUCUCAUAUUGUUCUCUGCAUAUUAUAAAAUUGUAUACAUCCUUAUAUUAUCUACCCAACAUAUUAACCCAAUAAAUUUGUGUAUGUUUAUUCAAUACCUGCCAAGGAGUCCAGUUCAUUUUGUUGUCUUUUUAAAUAGACUGUAAAAGGAGGCUAAAUUAAUUGUAAAUAAUGUGGUGACGGAAGAAUUUAAGAUAGAAAAAGGGACACGACAGGGGUGCCCAAUCUCCCCACUGCUUUUUAUAUCGGUCCUGGAGGUUCUGCUGAAUAUGAUUAGAAGGGACCGGUUGGUUAAAGGCAUACAAGACUUUAAUUGGUGUCACUCCAGCCACACACUUAACAGGCUGCUCAGUUUUUCAGCACUCUGCUGCACUUUUGAAUGGAAAUCUAUAGGCUAAAAAAGAAAAGAAAAAAAGAUUUACUCUGUCAUUGAGAUACAUACACAGACCAUGUAUGGCCAGUUCUACCAAUGGGUGGACCAGCCAGCUGCUUGAUAGCUCAGUUGGUAGAGCAUGGGACCCUCUCUCAUGAUCUAUGAUUCUGGAUGACCCAGAAUCAUAGAAUUGUAGAGUUGGAAGGGACCCUGAGGCUCUUGUCCAACUUGCUGCAAUGCAGGAAUAAGCAGCUGUCCUGUACGGGGAUCAAACUUGCAAACUUUGCAUUCUCAGCACCACGCUCUAACCAACUGAGCUAUCUAGCCUUAGCUGAAUGUUGCUGAACUUGGUGAUGGGUUUUCUUACCCUGCCAUACUUAGGGUGCCAAACACUCUUGAAAACACAGUGUUGGAUUUCUGCUUAUGCCACUGUGCAGUGCUUGGAGUCACAAGACUCUGUUUACAUUCCAGACUGUUGGAAGUGUCACGGGA